GAGUCUGUAAGAAGCAUGCUUCACCAGAAGAACUCAGCCAAGGAUCUGAAAAGGCCAGGAAUCCUAGAUAACUAAGUGGGCCUCAGAAAUGGAGACAGAAAUUUUUUGCACAGCUGCAGCCAAGUUGAAGUGUUCCAGGUUACAGUCUCAGUGAAUGCUGGACACUGCCCGGAUCCCAAAUCAAUGAGCCACCUGCCUGGAACAGAUGAUGAUGAUGAUGACGAUGAUGACUACUACUAUUACUAUUUAUUCACUUGUUGAGCUGCACAGAAUUUUUUAAAAUUUUGAAAUGGUGAACAGAACACACUAACCUACCUUGUAAGUUUGCGGUGAUGCUGAAAAGUAGAUACAUGGAAAGUGUACCCUAACUCCAACUUGAUUAUGAUCAGCAAUGGUGCCCUGGUGUUUUGUUGUGUUUUUAUGAGUUUCCUGAAUACAUUGUUCAAUAUCUGGAUUGCAAUACAUGCACUGUGUUCUUCUGACCUGACUCUUCUGACACAUUCCCCACACAUCUGACUGUCAGUGACACACUCAGUAGUCCUCAACCAUCCAGCCACCACCACACAUCAUUCACAACCACACUGACAGGUAGCAUGAACACUUCAAUUUGUUAACCAUCACAAGGUCACACUCUGCGUGUGCAUUUAUGCUGAUAUA